UUUAAUAUAACCCGAUCUCGAUAUUGGCUAGAGAAAACCAUUUGAAAAUUGAGUCAUGAAAAAUCAAUAUGGAAGAUAACAAAGUUUUUGUGAGAUACGUAGAAAUGAGUUGAGUGUCUCUGUCUGAGCAUUCAUAGUAUGUCACGCGCGCGGAAUUUGAAGCUUUUUAUCUUCUAUGUUGAUUUUUGUAACUCAAUUUUUGGACGGUCUUUUCUAUACUUUCGACGAGUGUCAAGACCUAUUUGUAUUAAUGAUCGUGUUCGUGAUCAUUUCAUAAUUUUCCUUGACUCAAUUUCUAUUAGCCAGAGUACUACACUAGUCCCAAAAUUCGAAAUUUCUUGUAUUACCCACCAUAUAGAGGGUGCUGAUGUCGAAUAGUUGAAAUAAUUUCAACAAAGUAACACGCGGUGGAAAUAAUCCAGUAAAUUUUUUAUAAUUGUUAUAAUGCUUGGUAAGUAGGUAUACUUUAUCUAUGCAUAAACAAUCCUAUCUAUGGUUAAACAUCACUUUAGGGGACACAAAAUUAUAGCAUGUGGCACCUAUUGUCUUCACUAAAUACAAAUCGCUACAUAAUCGCAAUAUCCCUCAUCAUAGAAGUUCAGAACCUGUAUAUGUAUAUGACCGUGGUACAGUUUAUCCAAUGAAACGAGUGACAUUAAUCAGUAACCAAUACUUGGUAGCUACAGUAAUUAAGCUUUAUUUACAUUUACUACCUCGUCCCGUUGAGCAGAUUAUACAUUUCAAUUUUUUUAAUACUUAUAUAUCAUUUGUAUAAUAGAUAGAUUAUAUGUAUGUAUUGCUUAAGUUUGUUCUAAUUGAAUGUUUCUUUCGCGAAGGGGCUAGUAUCUAAUAAGCAACAAUAAGACAUAUUAUUUACAUUAUUGGUCACCUUGUUAUUAGUGAUGUAUUAAAUAGAAACACUUGAUAUGGAAUAAAAAAUUGCAUUACGUAAUUAUAAGUGUGGGAAAAUUUUAAAUUCAGAUGUUUAAAUAUCUCUAUGUGAGGCUAACCAAAACACGGAUAUAAAAUUAUUGUUGGAAAUGAAAUUAAUGGUAAUUUUGGAUCAAUUUGAAUUCCCUGUAUUUUCUGAUUGAAUUGUUAUGGACAAACAUUUAUAUUAUAUAAAUUUAUGUAUCAAAUUUUAUGCAUUUUUAUAUGCGUUGUUGGUGCAAGUGCGGAGUUAUGUAUGUAUAUCCGCACGACCGAUCUCCCAUUGUCAUGCCGACUGCUCAGAGGACAAUUCGUUUUUGAAUGCUUCUUCACAGCGGAAGGGUUAAAAUAAACUGAUUUUUAUGCACAGCAUUUUGUUUAUUGUGUGCCUGAUUCAUAGAUGAAGGUCAAGAAUUUCAUUUUUACAAAUAAAAAAUGUGUAUAAAACAAGUUGUUUUAAGAAGAUUAUUAUUAUAACCUUGUACGAAAGAAAAUACUUCCUAUUGUUAUAGCAAAAAUAAUUUAUCUAUAAAUUAUCUAGUAAAAUAUAUUAAAAGCAAGGUUUUUAUCUUCAGUGUAUAGAGCAAUGGAAAUUUCUGAAGAAGAAUUAUUUUCUUCACAUCAUUCGGUUGAUAAUUACUCAGAGCAAGUAAUUAACAUGUCAUUACCAUUACCAAAGCCAAAACCUAAA